GAUUUCAAAUGGAAAAGCCAUAAAUAGCAAAGUUGUACAACUUAUCAAGAUCUACGACUUUUAUUUUGGUCACUUCUUUACCAACAAAGUGAUAGUUAUAUUAUUCACAAAAAUGACAUUUCUCUCAUCUGGUUUAUAAACAUCAACACAGAUAUGUCAAUUUUGUAAACAUUGGUACUAUCACUUUGUCGGAUGAAGAAGUGACCAAAAUAAAAGUUGUAGAUCUUGAUAAGUUGUACAACUUUGCUGUUUCUGGCUUUUCCAUUUGAAAUC
rnacentral:pre_miRNA from 1 species